rnacentral:rRNA from 1 species
UACGUAGGGUGCGAGCGUUGUCCGGAAUUAUUGGGCGUAAAGGGCUCGUAGGCGGUUUGUCGCGUCGGGAGUGAAAACACUGGGCUUAACUCAGUGCUUGCUUCCGAUACGGGCAGACUAGAGGUAUUCAGGGGAGAACGGAAUUCCUGGUGUAGCGGUGAAAUGCGCAGAUAUCAGGAGGAACACCGGUGGCGAAGGCGGGUCUCUGGGCCGUAACUGACGCUGAGGAGCGAAAGCGUGGGGAGCGAACAGG